AGCAGCCGCGGUAAUUCCAGCUCCAAUAGCGUAUAUUAAAGUUGUUGCAGUUAAAAAGCUCGUAGUUGAAUUUCGGGGUCAGUAGGUCGGUCGUGCCACAGGUAUGCACUGGUCUCACUGAUUCCUCCUUCCUGAUGAACCGUAAUGCCAUUAAUUUGGUGUUGCGGGGAGACUGGGCUGUUACUUUGAAAAAAUUAGAGUGUUUAAAGCAGGCUAACGCUUGAAUACAUUAGCAUGGAAUAACGGAAUAGGACGUUCGAUCUUAUUUUGUUGGUUUCUAAGAUUGACGUAAUGAUUAAUAGGGAUAGUUGGGGGCAUUAGUAUUCAAUUGUCAGAGGUGAAAUUCUUGGAUUUAUUGAAGACUAACUACUGCGAAAGCAUUUGCCAAGGAUGUUUUCAUUAAUCAAGAACGAAAGUUAGGGGAUCGAAGACGAUCAGAUACCGUCGUAGUCUUAACCAUAAACUAUGCCGACUAGGGAUCGGAUGAUGCUAAUUUUUUAAUGACUCAUUCGGCGC
rnacentral:sRNA from 1 species